rnacentral:misc_RNA from 1 species
CCGAGUUUACAACUCCCAAACCCCUGUGAACAUACCUAUCGUUGCUUCGGCGGAUCCGCCCCGGCGCCCUCGGGCCCGGAUCAGGCGCCCGCCGGAGACCCCAAACUCUUGUAUUUCUUCAGUAUCUUCUGAGUAAACAAGCAAAUAAAUUA